rnacentral:rRNA from 1 species
CCAAUAGCGUAUAUUAAAGUUGUUGCAGUUAAAAAGCUCGUAGUUGAAUUUCGGGGUUCUACCGUUGGUCGGGCUAUUGUCUGUACUAGUGUGUAGAAUUUCUACCUUCUGGGGAACCAUCAUGUUAUUAAUUUAGCGUGGUUGGAAACCAGGACCUUUACCUUGAAAAAAUUAGAGUGUUCAAAGCAGGCUUACGUCUGAAUACAUUAGCAUGGAAUAAUAAAAUAGGACGGUGGUCCUGUUUUGUUGGUUUCUGAAUCACCGUAAUGAUUAAUAGGGAUAGUUGGGGGCAUUAGUAUUCAAUUGUCAGAGGUGAAAUUCUUGGAUUUAUUGAAGACUAACUUCUGCGAAAGCAUUUGCCAAGGAUGUUUUCAUUAAUCAAGAACGAAAGUUAGGGGAUCGAAGACGAUCAGAUACCGUCGUAGUCUUAACCAUAAACUAUGCCGACUAGGGAUCGGACGAUGUUAAUUUUUCUUGACUCGUUCGGCGCCUUACG